rnacentral:rRNA from 1 species
CAGCAGCCGCGGGAAUACGUAGGUGGCAAGCGUUGUCCGGAAUUAUUGGGCGUAAAGGGCUCGCAGGCGGUUUCUUAAGUCUGAUGUGAAAGCCCCCGGCUCAACCGGGGAGGGUCAUUGGAAACUGGGAAACUUGGGUGCAGAAGAGGAGAGUGGAAUUCCACGUGUAGCGGUGAAAUGCGUAGAGAUGUGGAGGAACACCAGUGGCGAAGGCGACUCUCUGGUCUGUAACUGACGCUGAGGAGCGAAAGCGUGGGGAGCGAACAGGAUUAGAUACCCGCGUAGUCCCUGUCUCUUAUAC